AUGAAUAGUCAGGAAAAGUAGUUAUCAUCUGUAGUAUAGGAGUUGGUAUCUCGGGAUAGUAUAAGGAGGAUGGGAGAGGGGAAGAAAAUGCCAGACUGUGAGAGUCGUAAGCCGAGGGCCAGACUGUGAGAGUUGUGAGCCGGGGUAAGCUUGGUGCUACCUCUUUUCUUUUGUUUGUUAUUUUCUUUGAAUAAGAGGAUUGAAAGUCUCUGAAUAUUAUGAAGUGAAUUAUAAAAAUGUGAUUGGUAUUAUUUAAGAAGAAGAAAGAUUGAAUGCUAAAAUUUGAUUGUAGUUCAGCAGAGAGAAUGAGUCUGUGUUUGUGUGAAACACUGUAAUGUGAAUGGCAGUUCUGUGUGAAGAAUUCUAGAGAUUGGAAUGAGGAUAAUUGUGAGCUGAAAGCUGUGAGGGUGCAGUAUUACAGUUGGAGAUUAUGAGGGUGAAUAUAUUGGUGGAAAUAGCAGUUAUUGGUAUGACUGAAUUGUUGUAAGGAAGAGAUCGAUAAAGUGAAGGAGGAGAUUAUAGUUUCCUUGUGUGUUCAGAUAUUGGAAA
rnacentral:lncRNA from 1 species